GGUGAGGUGGGGUGUGGUGUGAUGUUGUGAUCUUUGGGCAUUGCUAUUAGCUUAGCGAGAGGAACCCUGGCUUGGCGAAAUUUCGCCUAUGAUCUUAUUUCUUGAGCUGUAAGAAACCGAUAAAGCUGCUGUUCUUCACGUGCGAAUUAUCCCUAGAAAACCCAAAGAUUAUCCUUACAUUAUACAUAUGUACAGCUUCAUUCUCACUUCGUCGUGCUUCUUCGGGUCUUACGUUAGCACUCAAACUUUAUCGGCGUAGCAUUCCAUACUAUAUUUCACUCAAUUCAUUUUGGGCAUCGUUUGGAUUGGAUUUGGUGCCGGUUUUUUGGCCCUUCAUGCAGACCUCUUGUAUGAACUAAAUUCACACAUACAUAUGUACAUACAUACAUACAUAUGUAUGCAUGUUAAUGCAACAAUAUUAAAUUUAGAUAACCUUCUACGUACAGUAAUAAUUUUCAUAGUCUGACAAAAAACUGUGACGGACGGUAUCUGGCUUUUGGGGAAUUUUACUAUACAGUGUACACUGUAAGUGUGUACCAAGGAUAAUCUCUCGGCACCUCUCUCCACCUAUCUAUCUGUUCCCGUUUAGUCAAUUGUCAAUCACAGGUAGUCAAGACACAGCACGCACACACACACAUGGAGUGGCACAAUCGUCAGCUGUUAUCACUGCACUGGACUGAAUUGCAAGAGACACGCAGGAAAAGGACAGAACGUAAGGUAACAUGGAAUUUAGCGCUGACAGUGGGGGGGAGACAAUGCAACAACUGUUAUGGCAAGAUCAGACAUCGCUCUGCUUCUCGCCCAGACAGGCACUCGGAAGUGGUUGUGCCGAACCGAUCCCAGCCUCGCAGCAAGCACACAACUCGGAAAGAGAAAAAACCAAAUUGCAAUUGUCCUGGUUUGGUGACUGCUGCUGUGGAGCGCCUUGAGGGAACGAUGACUGCCCUUCUACCUGAAAUGAGCACUUUGUGGACUCAACAAAAUAGAUAUGUACAUGUAUGUACAUAUAUUCAACAAAUGCCUGUGCUGGUUGAAGCAGUCGCAGAGCAGGCUGGCACGUUCAAAAGUCUAGGAAGGCAGCAAGGACAGGGGCAAACAGUCGCCAAAUAUUUCCCUGUUUUAACAGACCAGGGACCUCAAGAGCUGGACAUGCAAAUAAACAGCACAAAUAGAGGUAUACAUAUACAUUGAUGCAAUAAAGAAAAUGUUAUUACCGAGCGGCGUUUCAAAAAAUUUGAAAUAUGUUUUGGCCAAUUAAGAUGUGUUGGCAUAUAACGAGGAUGGGCCGCAAGGCAAGUUUGCGCUAAAAAAUUUAAAGAAGUUUUAUGGAGUUUUGAUUGGUAGGCUUUUUUGUUUUUUUGUUUUUUUUUGUAUGCCUAUUAUAUCUGUAUUAUAUAUUUAUAGAUGCUGGAUCAGCUGAAGUCCAGCUUUGGAAGGCCCUUCAGCUGCAAAAAAACGUUAUUUUGAAAACAGUACCACUGCGAACAGCAGAACAUAUAUUUAAGUAAAUUUAAAAAUUAAAAUGAAAUGAAAUGCAGAUUGAUAACCAACUAGAGGUACCCAUUUCACUAGCUACUAGACGACCCAUAUCACCAUAUCAUUGCGGGCAAAAAUGGAAAUGAUGAAAAGCAUUGUUAGGGGUUAGUAAAGAAAGUACCCCUGGUCGGUUAGUGAGUGGUGAUAUCACCACCUCCGAACUAGUUCCCAGUGCUGCUGGGAAAAGAGAGCGCGUUGAGUCAAUUUGCCGCCUUGUAUAAUGCCGUCAUGAGCGGGCUCAAUCCCGCACACACACAUGGACACACACUAACACAUAUGAAGCUCAGGGAGCUUAUACGGGAGAAAAAUGAAAUGAGAGACUCCACGCAGGUCGGUGAAGCAGAAGGAGGAGCAUAGCACGUCCAGGAAGCACGACCAGGUGGACUUCUACCUCACACAAGCGCUGAGCGGAAAUCAGGGAGAAGACGCACAACAUGUCCUCUUCGAGUGCUACAGUGUCACGCCACAAAUUCGAUCACUGUAGUGAUUGAUAGUGAGAUAUAGUGACGCUAUAGCCUCAGACGGUGGGCAAGGAUCAGCGCCGAGCCUUUUUGAAGAGCGUUUUGGCACUUUUCGCGGCUCACAACUCUCCCGCUCGUUUUUACUUCUCAUCAGACGCUCUGCGCUUGCCCACAAUUGCACAAAUUGUUUAAAAAUGUACAUACAUAUAUGUACAUACAUAUGUACAUAUGGAGUUAAUCAAUUUUCGGAACUUAUUUGGAUGCCUUAGGGUCAAUGUGUCACGGCCAUGGCAUCCAGCACAUUUUGAACCAUUUUUUCUCAAAAUUUAGCGCACUGAAACACUCAAACACCCAAUUUGGUAAUUCGCUUCGAUCGGUUUUGCCUAGGAAGGAAUUAAACUAAGUUAUUUCAAAAACUUGACUAUGUUUUAGUAACAAAAAACUAAUACGCUGCAGCUUAAUUCUGACGCUCAGGAUGUGGCAGUGUUGAUUAAAAAAUGAUAGCACUCUUUUUUAUUUCUGGGCUAUGGCAACACCCACACAAAAUUUGAAAAAAGAGAGAGAGAGAGAGAGCCAGGGAGAACAUCUGCUUUGGAAAGAUGAAAAAAAUGUCCACGCUCCAAAAAGGCAAAAAGGCAAAAAGGAGGCAAGCGAAAUGAGCCAUGCUAAGCAAAAAUAUUUGUGUGUUUCCUUCACGCAAUUUGUUUUACCGUUUUCUGCUCAUCGUCAUCCUCCGAAAGAGGGUGGUGGGGGAUCCCACCAUCCCGUCCCCCUUGUACGGCCGAAGAUGUUGACCCUGUAUAGAUUACAGUGCGGGUAGUUGACCCGCUUUUGUGGCGACCGACCUGCCUGCCUGCCUGCCUCCUGCGAAUGAGCCGUAAAGGCCCCCCUUAGAUGGGGGCAAUGAUCUGGAUUGCUCCAAGGGAAAAUUCAAGAGGAGCCAGAAGCAGAGCCAGCCAUUGAUGUGGGGCAAUCGUAGGGAGGGCAGAUGCGUGUGAGGGAUUGACCUGAUUUUUUUCAUCGGGCUGGAAAAUGGAAUACCUUAGGGGA